UACGGGGGGGGCAAGCGUUGUUCGGAAUUACUGGGCGUAAAGGGCUCGUAGGCGGCCAACUAAGUCAGACGUGAAAUCCCUCAGCUUAACUGGGGAACUGCGUCUGAUACUGGAUGGCUUGGAUUCGGGAGAGGAAUGCGGAAUUCCAGGUGUAGCGGUGAAAUGCGUAGAUAUCUGGAGGAAUACCGAUGGCGAAGGCGGCAUCCUGGACCGACAUUGACGCUGAUGAGCGAAAGCUAGGGGAGCAAACGGG
rnacentral:rRNA from 1 species